rnacentral:tRNA from 1 species
GCCCUCAUAGCUCAACUGGCAGAGCAGAUGCCUCUUAAGCAUACGGUUCCAGGUCCGAGUCCUGGUGGGGGCA